rnacentral:lncRNA from 1 species
UGUCCUUUCAUAUUUUAUUACAUUUAAUCGAGCUAAACGUGUGGCAAUGAACUAUGCUUCUUUGCAUUCAUGAUUUUGAUGGAAUUUUGUGUAUAAAUUUCUACCUUUAGCAUCACAUAUUUUCCUAAGACAGCUAACGGGGCACUCUUUCAUAUGUGAACAUAGUAAUAGAGAAGGUUAGAGAAAAAAUAGGAUUUAUUUUAGCCUUUAAUCCCUUUAGUGAAGUCUAUCUGUAAGAAGCCAUUUGUAUUCCAUGGUGUUCUUCUCAUGUUCCCCGAAUAUUUAACCUAUGUCCCAAGUUUUCCCCACUGUUUUUACCUUAUCCUUAUCUUUAAUCCUGGAGCUCAUCCUAAGAUGAUUUCUUCGAGGUUUUUGAUGAGGGUAAAAUAGAUGUUAUGCGUAAGGCUCGGGGUGAGAGAACACAACAAUUAGCAUGUCCAUUAUCGUUCUCCCAUGCUUUCCUGGUGUGGAGGACUAGUCUUCUUAUCCCUGCUUUGAUGAUUUUGGAUGCAACAACUGGAGAGCUGGAGGCUAUUUAUUGGUGAUUCUCUAUGAGUAAAGGUAUACCUCACUAUUAUAAGAGCUCAUGUGGGAGUCUUUUAUCCUAGGUUGUUCAAAUCCACUCAUUUCCGGUGCCCUAUUUGGAAUAGAAUGACCCUACGCCCAUCCUUAGCUCCGUAAUAUAACCACUUAAUCGAUGGUUAACAAUUCGGUAAUGAGAAGAAUGGUCGCCUUCUUUGAGGUUUCUUGUUUUUAUAUGGAACAAAUAUGAGCUUAAUGAUGAGGAUCACUCGAAUGACUUCUCAUCACACAAGAAGG